rnacentral:rRNA from 1 species
CAUGAACUUAGCUUGCUAAGUUUGAUGGCGACCGGCGCACGGGUGAGUAACGCGUAUCCAACCUUCCGUACACUCAGGGAUAGCCUUUCGAAAGAAAGAUUAAUACCUGAUGGUAUGAUGGGAUUGCAUGUUAGCAUCAUUAAAGAUUCAUCGGUGUACGAUGGGGAUGCGUUCCAUUAGAUAGUAGGCGGGGUAACGGCCCACCGUACCGACGAUGCGUAGGGGUCCUGAGAGGAAGGCCCCCCCACCACUGGUACUGAGACACGGACCAGACUCC